UCUGGAGACAGGUGCUGCAUGGCUGUCGUCAGCUCGUGUCGGUGAGAUGUUGGGUUAAGUCCCGCAACGAGCGCAACCCUUGCCUUUAGUUGCCAGCAGUUCGGCUGGGCACUCUAAAGGGACUGCCGGUGUUAAACCGGAGGAAGGUGGGGAUGACGUCAAGUCCUCAUGGCCUUUAUGGCCAGGGCUACACACGUACUACAAUGGCCGAUACAAAGGGCAGCGACACUGCGAGGUGAAGCCAAUCCCGUAAAAUCGGUCUCAGUCCGGAUUGGAGUCUGCAACUCGACUCCAUGAAGUUGGAAUCGCUAGUAAUCGUGGAUCAGCAUGCCACGGUGAAUACGUUCCCGGGCCUU
rnacentral:rRNA from 1 species